rnacentral:rRNA from 1 species
CCUACGGGUGGCAGCAGUGAGGAAUAUUGGUCAAUGGGCGCUAGCCUGAACCAGCCAAGUAGCGUGAAGGAUGACUGCCCUAUGGGUUGUAAACUUCUUUUAUAUGGGAAUAAAGUGCACCACGUGUGCUGCUUUGUAUGUACCCUAUGAAUAAGGAUCGGCUAACUCCGUGCCAGCAGCCGCGGUGAUACGGAGGAUCCGAGCGUUUUCCCGAUUUAUUGGGUUUAAAGGGAGCGUAGGGGGGUUGUUAAGUCAGUUGUUAAAGUUUGCGGCUCAAACGUGAAAUUGCAGGUGAAACUGGCAGUCCUGAGUACAAGAGGAGUUAGCCGAAUUCGGGG